GUCAGUCAGAACCCAGAAUAUAACGCAAAAGCUGAAAGAGGUUGUCUUGUUUAGCCAUAUGACUUGGCUCAGUGGGCUCACCGGUUCAAGCCCAGUCUCAGCACAUCUGCGAGGCCUUGAGCAAGGUCCCUAACCCCCAGCUCUUUGGGCACUGCAGCAGGUGGCUGCCCUUCAUGGGCAGCUUGCUCUCACCUACAUCGUAAACGCUUUCGCUUUGCAAUAAUAUCUCUUACAGUUGACAGUGGAAUAUUUAGCAGCUCUCUGCACAGCCCUCCAGGGUUCCAGCUAGGGGCCCCUCCGUGCGACUCGCACACGGACUGCAACUCCGCUUAACGAGAGUGCCCUUUACCUGUGGCCUGUUCGCAGCGAACUGACCCCAUGCAACUUUCUAGAAUCUCUGCCAUCUUUCACCUGUGGAAAAAGAGCCAAGAAAAUAAUAAUCUGAUCAAUAAAAUUAUACACACAC